rnacentral:sRNA from 10 species
UCUCCUUUCCGUAAAUUAACUCCAUCCCCUUUUUCCUAGCAUGAAACUUCAGAUAUACUUGAAGAUAAUAAGUUCUGAUAAACUUCUGAUAUAUACUGAUGCAUGAAAUAUUAGAUUCCUAGCCAGCUUAAUUAUUUUUCUUUGAAAAGCUUUUGUUUCUGGUGGCAGGCUACAAAGGGGGUGAAGAAGGGUUGUCAAUUAAGCUGACUACGGAUGAGGACGCUUUUGUUGACAGAAGAUAGAGAGCACAACUGAACAUACCCAGAAAAGGCCUGUGUAUGAGCAGCCUUGUGCUCUCUUUUCUUCUGUCAAUGGAAUUUUCUGUCAGAGUUCAGCUCAUUCGCUUUCAUCAGCAUACCAAGUUCAGUUCAACCCAAGAGAUUAAAUUGAGGGACAUUAGAAUCUGCUCGAUUCUGAGUGCAAUCUUAAAAAACAUCCAAUUCGGAUUCCACAUCAAAUCAUGCGCGUUCUAAUACACAGCUUAGCAGCCAGGCGAUUUCUCCAGGAUCUCGGGCACUGGACAGCGUAUUUGUGCUUGGGAAGAUCAAUGCCAACGCCUGGAAUUAGAGGGGGAAUAAUGCCAAUGCCAGGGAUUAGAGGGGAACGAGGAACCAAAUCUCAGGCAGCCGCACUGCUAUGCAACCAUGAGCAAGGGCAAUAUUGUUUGCACCAGACCUCUUCAUGGCUUUUCCUUCCACUGAUUCUUAACAUUUACCCCUAAUCACUCUGAAAAGUUGUUGUGAUUCGGCCAAAAUUGCAAAAACCAGAAUCUAAAGGCUUGGAACCCCAAGAAUCUAUGGAAAUUCCAUAAAUCACUGUGCCUUAUUUUUUGUGGCUGCUGACUACUGUGAUUGAAUUCAACCAUGAUUGAAAUCAUUUACAUUCUGAUAACAUAUAAUUUUUAGUCAUUUAUAAAGACAGAAUCAGGAAUUCAUCA